rnacentral:rRNA from 1 species
UACGUAGGGGGCAAGCGUUGUCCGGAUUUAUUGGGCGUAAAGAGCUCGUAGGCGGUCUGUUGCGUCCGCUGUGAAAACUCGGGGCUUAACCCCGAGCCUGCAGUGGAUACGGGCAGACUAGAGGUAGGUAGGGGAGAAUGGAAUUCCCGGUGUAGCGGUGAAAUGCGCAGAUAUCGGGAGGAACACCGGUGGCGAAGGCGGUUCUCUGGGCCUUAACUGACGCUGAGGAGCGAAAGCGUGGGGAGCGAACAGG